GUGCACUCCACGACCAGCCGGAACUCCCACUCAGGUGCCCUUCUCUCUCUCGCAGAAGAGAGAGCUGUUUUCUUUUCUCUUUCUUUUGCCUAUUAAACCUCUGCUCCUAAACCCACUUCCUGUGUGUCUGCAUACUCGAUAUCCUUGGCAUGAGAUGGCGAACCUCAGGUGUUUACCCCAGAGAAUGAUGUUUCUUUGGAAUUGCUGAAACAUAUGAGACGGGGUCUCACUGUAUCAGCUCAGCUGGAGUACAGUGGUGAGAUCAGAGCUCACCGCAGCCUCCGGGCUCCUGGUCUCAAGCAAUCCGGACCUCAGCCUCCCAAGUAGUGGGGACUACAGAGAAUGUACAACUCCUCUGCCACAACGUGAGGGAGAGAAGUCUGCAGACGGCUGACUGGUGACGACUGAACAAGACGGAAAGGCAAGUCGCUAUGCCCGAAGCCUUUGAAGGGAGCCAGCAGGGUCCAUGGGAGGUUCAGGACACAUAUCUGCAGCCCUGCUUCUGGCCCCACCCUUGGGGAAGCCUUUUGCAGGUGAUCCUGGGCCUCUGCUGGGGAAGGCCCCAAGAGGUGAAGCAUCCUCUGCAGAGGAGAGAGCACAUCCGGAAGUAGAAGACAGACCACUGUCUGGGCUCCGUUUAACUGCUGUGAUUUGGGAUUGUAACUUACUCCCGUAAAGCCUCAGUUUCCCACAUGGAAAAUCAAAUCGAUCAUUGUUAUAACAUUUCACUUUUUUGUUAUGUGAUGUAAUUUACACAGUGCUUUCGUAUACGUUAUCCAAUUUAGCGAAAUAAUACAGAGCAAUGCAUUUUGAAAAGAAUAAAAUGCUUAACAUAUGUGAGGAAUUCUUUUUUCCUUUGAAAACUACUCCGGAUGGCUUGGCUAUUGUUUAGUUAAGAGAAUUAUACAAUUUUUGAGACAUGGUUCCUUAUCUUGUGUAGGCUGAAAGGCAAUUAAACAAUUAUUCAUGUCAGAAUCUGAGGUAAAUAAAAGGCUGCUUCAAAGAGUCCACUUACGGAGUGAAAAGCAGUUGAGUAGAAACAGAGAGUGGUCUGUAAUUUCCUUCUGGAAGGAAUAUCCACUCCAUAUGGCCUGAAGCAAGAAUUUCAAACUCCUACGUGUGACCUUUACACAGCCAGGACCCCCAUAGAGCAGCCAAACAUGCAGUCUUGUAAACAAAAGGAAUUUCAAGAUAACUCUGAUCUUUCACUAAUUAUCCCAAAGCCCAAAGGGGAUCCAUAUACAUAGUCCGAAGCCUACUUUAAGGAGGCAUCCUCCCCUGUGUAUUCCCAGCCCAUCCCAUAGUU
rnacentral:lncRNA from 1 species